AGCAGCCGCGGUAAUACGGAGGGUGCGAGCGUUAAUCGGAAUUACUGGGCGUAAAGCGCAUGCAGGUGGUUUGUUAAGUCAGAUGUGAAAGCCCGGGGCUCAACCUCGGAAUUGCAUUUGAAACUGGCAAACUAGAGUACUGUAGAGGGGGUAGAAUUUCAGGUGUAGCGGUGAAAUGCGUAGAGAUCUGAAGGAAUACCGGUGGCGAAGGCGGCCCCCCUGGACAGAUACUGACACUCAGAUGCGAAAGCGUGGGGAGCAAACAGGAUUAGAUACCCUGGUAG
rnacentral:rRNA from 1 species